rnacentral:rRNA from 1 species
AUUGAACGCUGGCGGCAUGCUUUACACAUGCAAGUCGAACGGUAACAGGCCGCAAGGUGCUGACGAGUGGCGAACGGGUGAGUAAUGCAUCAGAACGUGCCCAGUCGUGGGGGAUAACUACUCGAAAGAGUAGCUAAUACCGCAUACGAUCUAUGGAUGAAAGCGGGGGACCGUAAGGCCUCGCGCGAUUGGAGCGGCCGAUGUCAGAUUAGGUAGUUGGUGGGGUAAAGGCUCACCAAGCCAACGAUCUGUAGCUGGUCUGAGAGGACGACCAGCCACACUGGGACUGAGACACGGCCCAGACUCCUACGGGGGGCAGCAGUGGGGAAUUUUGGACAAUGGGCGCAAGCCUGAUCCAGCAAUGCCGCGUGCAGGAAGAAGGCCUUCGGGUUGUAAACUGCUUUUGUACGGAACGAAACGGCUCUGGUUAAUACCCGGGGCUAAUGACGGUACCGUAAGAAUAAGCACCGGCUAACUACGUG